rnacentral:tRNA from 1 species
AAGGACUUAAGUUAAUUUAAACUAGUAGCCUUCAAAGUUACAAAUAAAAAUAAAAUUUAGGCCUUA